rnacentral:rRNA from 1 species
ACUCAAAGGAAUAGACGGGGGCCCGCACAAGCGGUGGAGCAUGUGGUUUAAUUCGAUGCAACGCGAAGAACCUUACCAAGAUUUGACAUACCAUUGACCUCCCUAGAGAUAGGGAUUUCCUUCGGGACAAUGGAUACAGGUGGUGCAUGGUUGUCGUCAGCUCGUGUCGUGAGAUGUUGGGUUAAGUCCCGCAACGAGCGCAACCCUUACCUUUAGUAGCCAUCAUUAAGUUGGGUACUUUAAAGGGACUGCCGUGGAUAACACGGAGGAAGGCGGGGAUGAGGUCAAAUCAUCAUGCCCUUUAUGUCUUGGGCCACACACGUGCUACAAUGGCUGCAACAAAGUGAUGCAAGCUCGUGAGAGCAAGCCAACCACAAAAAAGCAGUCUCAGUUCGGAUUGAAGUCUGCAACCCGACUUCAUGAAGUUGGAAUCGCUAGUAAUCGCAGAUCAGAAUGCUGCGGUGAAUACGUUCCCGGGCCUUGUACACACCGCCCGU